GCCUAUCCAAAAAUUCUCUCGAUUCCUAACAUAGUCAUGCUGCUGCAGAUUAAUCAACAUAAAUUUAAGAUUUGAAUGGUCCCCACCAUGACCAUCGAUUAAAAGUGAUUAGCUAUACUACAUGUUCUUUUCUUAUACUUAAUGUGCGACUUGUAAUUGACCAACCUGGAUUUGAAAUUGACAACGUUCUGCGAUGUACAGGUCAAGGAUUUACAAAUUAAAAUCUACCUGGGGUGGUGGAACGAAAAGGCACAGCGCGCAGGAAUGAGAAAGUUUUUACAGCAAUGACAUCUCUUUGUUGUACAUACAGAACAGCUACCCCCCGUUACCUCCCUGUUUUUAUACGGGUUCGAGGGAGCCAUAUAAUUAUAUAAAAUAGUUGGUGGUGGGUUAUAAAAACCAAUGAUAGACUGCUCAAUGGAUAACCGGAGCAUAAUAGUAAGACACAAAAACUUAGCAAGCUUUGUUUGGCAUAUUUAUUACUAUACAGUUUCGUACCACGUAACUAACGUGGCACUCUUCAAAUAAAAUAGCCUAUGUUUGACCUAUAGUUUCUAACGAACGUUUUAAAUAUGUACAGAUGGCAAAGGAUGCUUAUCUAAUUACAGAUCAAUUCAAACACUCAUUAAUAAUUCAUAAGCUUAUUGGCAAAUCGUGUCAACCAUAAUAUGUCACGUGCAGUGGCUUUAAACCUGAUAAAACACCUAUAGUAUCUAUUGUACUCGUGUCCUCAUUAGUAUUUUUUAUAUAAAGAAUACUAAUAAGACAGUAUAUCUAUUGAAUUUGUAGUCGUGUUUGAAGCCGUUUAAUAAACUCGCAGGUCGUGUUUUAGUAGGUCUAAAGCCACUCGCGCUGCGCGCUCGUGACUUUAAACCUAAUAAAACACUCCUGCUCGUUUGUUAAACAGUACUUAACACCUCACGUAGCAAUCUCGUUCCCAGAGUAUGCCUGUUCGCGGGUUAGGUUGUGGCAUGACUCUGGGGAAAUCGAAUUUUUUUUAUCCAAAAUGAGAUAAAUGGCGCAUGCGCUUUUAUUGCUUUUGUUCAUUCCGCUUACUAAAUUCGCGCGGGCACACGCUCACAAUCGAUAUUGUUUUAAACAAAGAUUCUCAUCAGAAUAUAGUGUAAAAAAAGGUUUUUUAUACGUUUAAAGGUGCUUUAAAUCGUACUACUAUUAAAUUAUAUUCAAUGGCAAAUACUGAAAGAGCUAUGAAAGCUGUUCUAGCGAAAAGAGGGCUUGAAUAUUCGUUAAAAGACGAGACAUUCAAAAUUUUAUGUAUCUCGGCCAUUGUAAAAGGAUGAAGAUGUUUUGGUUGUUUUGCCAACAGGAUAUGGGCAUAUUAUGGCAAAUAUUAAAAUAUUUCAGCUGCUACCAGACGUGUACGACAUGUUACUUGGCGUAACUAAUUCUAUCGUGAUAGUCAUAUCUCCACAUGAAUGACCAAGGCAUUUCUGCAUGCAUGAUAGUAUGUCAAAGUAUGAUACGUACAAGGCUAUUCUGUGCUAAAACUGUCUGUACCAGUGUAGGUAGUACCAAUGUAGAAAUGUUGUGCUGAGUGGUUAUAUUACUACCUUAAAAAAUAAGCAGAAACUCAACGUUUCGAGCGAAGGCCCUUCGUCAAGAGUUAGUAGCAUUCUGUGCUACACUAUAUAUGGUGAUGGCAGCGAUGUCAAAUGACCAUUGGAUCGACAUGAGAACCUGACGUUUAAGCUGUUCUACAGGGUGUAUCAAA
rnacentral:lncRNA from 1 species